rnacentral:rRNA from 1 species
GAUGAACGCUGGCGGCGUGCCUAAUACAUGCAAGUCGAACGAGGUGCUUUUGUAGCAAUACGAGAGUGUCCUAGUGGCGAACGGGUGAGUAACGCGUUGGUGACCUACCCCAAAGUGUGGAAUAACAGUCCGAAAGGAUUGCUAAUACCGCAUGUGGUUAUCGGGUUUAGAAACUGAUAACUAAAGGAGCAAUUCGCUUUGGGAGGGACCUGCGUCCCAUCAGCUAGUUGGUGAGGUAAUGGCUCACCAAGGCUACGACGGGUAGGGGACCUGAGAGGGUGACCCCCCACAAUGGAACUGAAACACGGUCCAUACACCUACGGGUGGCAGCAGUAGGGAAUAUUGCACAAUGGGCGAAAGCCUGAUGCAGCAACGCCGCGUGCACGAUGAAGGCCUUCGGGUCGUAAAGUGCUUUUCUGGGAGAUGAGAAAGGACAGUAUCCCAGGAAUAAGUCUCGGCUAACUACGUG